UAUUUACUUGAGAUUUUAAUGGAAAAAAAGAAAGUCCUGUGAUGAUUUUGUGAAUGAGUUUAAGCUUUAUUUGAAUAAAUAUGUACUGCUAUUAGGAGAACGUGUUUAUCAGAAAUCUAACAAUCCUCUACAAUUUGGUCACAUAUUUGCUCUACUAUAGUAUAUUAUACAUAUAUAUUUGGUAUUUUUGAGAAGAAAUUACUUAAGCAGUUUACAGAUUUAUUAGAAAAGGUAAAUAAUAUUCCAUUGGAUGGAAUUUACUAUGGAAUCCAUAAAUGCUUGUAUUGAAUUCCAUAGGUCAUUUACUCAAUCCUAACACUAAGAAAAAAGGAAGACAAUUCUGAACAAUGUACUUUGAAAUUAAUAGACAUUACAAAGAAUUUUUCAAAAACUACUUCUAAUUAUUUACAACAGGCAAUGAUUUGGUUUUCAAGAAGUGAACAUAGAGUUUAUUGAUUUUCAAACUUCAAAAUUAGAAUACAUGCAUGACACUUGUAACCAAUUGAGUAA